GUACUCAGGUUAGGGGGAAUGUUAGCUGAACAACUGGUAAUCAAGUUAGGGGAAAUGUUAGCUGAACAGACUGGUACUCUCUAGGUGGGAAGUUAGCUGAACAGACUGGUACUCUCUAGUUGGAAUGUUAGCUGAACAGACUGGUACUCAGGUUAGGGGGAAUGUUAGCUGAACAGACUGGUACUCAGGUUAGGGGGAAUGUUAGCUGAACAGACUGGUACUCAGGUUAGGGGGAAUGUUAGCUGAACAGACUGGUACUCUCCAGUGGUGAGGAGGAGUCUACCGUGUUUUCAGAAGCAUUUUGUGGAUUCAGGGCUCACUCAAACAUUGUUUUAAGCUUUGUUUUAC
ensembl:lncRNA